AGCAGCGUGGCUUAGUGGAAAGAGCUCUGGCUUGGGAGCCAGAGGUCAUGGGUUCUAAUCCUGACUCUGCCC
rnacentral:tRNA from 1 species